rnacentral:tRNA from 1 species
GCGUAGUGGUCACUGCGCUCGUCUUCCACGCGGGAGACCCGGGUUCAAAUCCCAGCCAAAGCG